GAUGUCAAAUAUGAUGGCUCAACCAUCAAGAGGCGUUGAAAACUGUUUAUCUAGAAUCUCGGAGAGGUAAGUGGAAGUUCCAUGUGUAGCGGUGGAAUGCGUAGAUAUAUGGAGGAACACCAAUGGCGAAGGCAGCUUACUGGACGAAGAUUGACGCUGAGGUGCGAAAGCGUGGGUAGCAAACAGGAUUAGAUACCCUCGGUAG
rnacentral:rRNA from 1 species